GACGGAAGGUGCAAGCGUUGCUCGGAAUCACUGGGCGUAAAGGGUGCGUAUGCGGCCGUGCAAGUCUGGCGUGAAAGCCCCGGGCUCAGCCCGGGAAGUGCGCUCGAAACUGCGCGGCUCGAGUGCCGGAGGGGAGAGUGGAAUUCCUGGUGUAGCGGUGAAAUGCGUAGAUAUCAGGAGGAAUACCGGUGGCGAAAGCGACUCUCUGGACGGCAACUGACGCUGAGGCACGAAAGCAUGGGGAGCGAACAGG
rnacentral:rRNA from 1 species